rnacentral:rRNA from 1 species
UACAUGGGGUGCAAACGUUGCUCGGAAUUAUUGGGCGUAAAGCGCACGUAGGCGGUUCGUUAAGUCGGAUGUGAAAGCCCUCGGCUCAACUGAGGAAGUGCACCCGAAACUGGCGAGCUUGAGUACGAAAGAGGAUCGCGGAAUUCCUGGUGUAGCGGUGAAAUGCGCAGAUAUCAGGAGGAACACCGGUGGCGAAGGCGGUUCUCUGGGCAUUACCUGACGCUGAGGAGCGAAAGUGUGGGGAGCGAACAGG